CUCUCAUUCUCUUACCGGGGGCCAUUCCUGCAUUGCACCCGCAGAUGUUGCUGCUACUCUGCAAGAAAUUUGUGGGGUUCUAACCUCUGCCUCACCAUGUGUCUGCUUCAGUUUCUUCUUUCUGCCAAGGUGGAAAGUGGCCAUCCCAACUGUACCUUUGCAGGACCCAACGCUGACCAUUGAGAGACUCUGGGUCAACUCCAAGCUGGAAUGAGAAAGGUAUGGUAACCCAAAC
rnacentral:lncRNA from 1 species